UGUUUGACUUGGCAGCAAAUAUUGGAAUGAAACUGAAACAACUCAGUGAAGAUUAUCAUAGCCUUGCUCAAGAAUGACAUGCAAAUGCAUCAUGUGUUGCCUGUUUUU
rnacentral:snRNA from 1 species